GAUGAAUGCUGGCGGCGUGCCUAAUACAUGCAAGUCGAGCGAACGGACGAGAAGCUUGCUUCUCUGAUGUUAGCGGCGGACGGGUGAGUAACACGUGGAUAGCCUACCUAUAAGACUGGGAUAACUUCGGGAAACCGGAGCUAAUACCGGAUAAUAUUUUGAACCGCAUGGUUCAAAAGUGAAAGACGGUCUUGCUGUCACUUAUAGAUGGAUCCGCGCUGCAUUAGCUAGUUGGUAAGGUAACGGCUUACCAAGGCAACGAUGCAUAGCCGACCUGAGAGGGUGAUCGGCCACACUGGAACUGAGACACGGUCCAGACUCCUACGGGAGGCAGCAGUAGGGAAUCUUCCGCAAUGGGCGAAAGCCUGACGGAGCAACGCCGCGUGAGUGAUGAAGGUCUUCGGAUCGUAAAACUCUGUUAUUAGGGAAGAACAUAUGUGUAAGUAACUGUGCACAUCUUGACGGUACCUAAUCAGAAAGCCACGGCUAACUACGUG
rnacentral:rRNA from 1 species